GGUCAUCUGUUCUCCACUGCGAGGACGCUGCCACUCAGUGUGGAGAGAGGAAGGGGUUCUGCCUAUGGUGCAAGAAGGUCGGACUCGGCAGUUAAUACUCUUGGAUAAUGUAUUUAAGGAUGCUUAAGAAAUUGCAACAGCCAGUUCAACCUUCAGCAACCACCAUACUGAUCAGUAGUCAUCAACAUUGAGACGAGACUGUACACCAGCAAAAAGAUCCCAACUCAAUGAAGGCUCAGAUGAUUUUAG